rnacentral:rRNA from 1 species
UACAGAGGGGGCAAGCGUUGUUCGGAAUUACUGGGCGUAAAGGGCGCGUAGGCGGCCUGCUAAGUCGAACGUGAAAUCCCCGGGCUUAACCCGGGAACUGCGUCCGAUACUGGCAGGCUUGAAUCCGGGAGAGGGAUGUGGAAUUCCAGGUGUAGCGGUGAAAUGCGUAGAUAUCGGAAGGAACGCCGGUGGCGAAAGCGAGCUGCUGGAUCCCUCCUGACGCUCAGGUGCGAAAGCCAGGGGAGCGAACGGG